rnacentral:tRNA from 1 species
GGGUUGCUAACUCAACGGUAGAGUACUCGCCGACUAGUUCCGGGUUCAAGUCCCGGGUAACCCA